CCACGCCUCCUCCACCGGUGCUGCGAGUAACAGCGCCAUUUUGUCACUGUGAUUGUGUAUGAAUUUAAGCUGUGGAUGAAUGUGGAAAUUUAGAUUUAGAUAGUUCUAUUGGCAUUGUUUUCCGCCAUUUAUCUUUUAUCACGUCCCUCGAGAAACUCUUUGUGAUCGGCAAAAGUUGUUGUUCGUCUAAACGACGGGACAUUUCUCAUCCGUUGAUAGCUAGUGUUCUCACUCGCCUGCGCUUGAACCCCUGACUGGCGAGUUCGACUAACAUUUUUUGCCUUUUUCUUUCAAUGAUUUCUUUUUCACUCGAGGAGCUGUUGUUUGUGAGGAGUGUAAAUUUAGUUUUACUCAUACAGUAGCCGCGAUUCCAGCCGAGGAGCGACAAAGGUGGAGCUAAUAUGGUUCAGAGUCCUCUUAACGACUAUCUUGUUUUGGAAGAAAGAAGAAAUGGAAGAGAUGCUUUGAAAGUGAGGCAGCUGACAAGACAGACUUCAGUAAGAAUCCUCAGCGUUGAUCAAGAAAGUUCACAGCUCACCUCAUCUAGAGUGGGAAUCAUCUUGGAAGAAAGCUUGGUAAUGGAUGAACUGACCAAUCUCAGGCCUUCUAUGUCCAUUGUUUUCAGACUGAUUUCCCUGCCUACACCUGGACUAUCCUAAGUGUAUGAAAAG